ACCUACGAAAAGAAACCAACGAAAAAAGAUCGAGGCCCCCUCGCACGAACCAGGAGCGAGGCCUCCUCGCGAAAAAAAAUAUCUGACGAUCCAGGCUGCCCUCGAUCGUCUCGCUAUGAGGACGAGAACCACGCCCCAGCCGCCAUAGUGGAGCCCUACGCCGCCGCCGAGAUCGGAGAGGAGCCGCCGCCGCCAAGGUUCGAGAGGAGCUGGCCACCACGACCUCCCUCCCCAGCCGGCCGCCACCACCCCCUCCCCAAGCAGCCAUGUACAGCAGGGCGGCGCCCACGCGCCUGGCCUAUGUAGGUCUCGGCCUCCCUCCUCCCUUCGUCCAAGGCCAGGAGCUCCCCCUCCCCGACCUGAUCUGGUGGAGAGAGGGCCAGGCCUUGCCACUCCGGUGGUCGCUGUGGCCAGAUCUGUCCGGGGUAAUCGCCGUAGAGCCUCUAUGGCGGCGGAGUAGCAGCAGCCCGAUAGAAGGUGGGUGCCAGAUCGUCGUCCAGCAGCUCGCCGUCGGAGCUUCUCACUACAGGCGAUGGAGGCCGGUGCUACUCGGUCUAUCUAUGAUGUUUGUUUCCUGUGUUUACAUGGCAGAGUGAUUGCUGCACUGGCUUUUGGCUAUGGAUGCAAGUUGGGAACUCAUUUAGUGAUUUGAGGGUGCAGGUAGGGAUGAUGCUGCGGAUGGGAUGGGAAGAUGUGUGUGUGCGCUAGCUGCUUCACAUACGACUCAGAGAAAGAAUUGCUUUGCAAGUUGCCAACAUCACGAAUUUCAUACUUAUGGAGUGGAGCCACCAAACAAUUUAUGAGCCAGCAAGAAUCCAUCGAGUCUUCCUCUAUGUGUGCAACCUUGCCAGUGUGUGAAUCAAUCAAGGCAAGGGCAAGCAACCAACAUUAAGCAUGUGCGAGUCUUGCCGGGAUCUGAUCUAUCAACUCGUUCAGCCAGCUUUGCACCAUGUGCACGUCGUCCAUGCUAGAAAAGCACUUGGCAAGUGGACGGCUCCAUUGGCCAUGCGUCAACAAUUCAAAUCAUUAUCUAUACUCGAUAGACACAUAUUUUUUUAUGCAAUUCUGAAUUUAUGGAAGCAGAAGAACUGAUUAUGUGAAUUAAAUAUCUAAUCCCAUGUGUAGGUGCUAUCCAACUGUUGUGAUUAUUUAUGCGCAUAUAACUUGCAGGUAGAUAACUCUAUAGUAUGAAGACUUAAAAAUACGAGUGCAUGUCA